AUUGAACGCUGGCGGCAGGCCUAACACAUGCAAGUCGAACGGUAACAGGAAGCAGCUUGCUGCUUUGCUGACGAGUGGCGGACGGGUGAGUAAUGUCUGGGAAACUGCCUGAUGGAGGGGGAUAACUACUGGAAACGGUAGCUAAUACCGCAUAACGUCGCAAGACCAAAGAGGGGGACCUUCGGGCCUCUUGCCAUCGGAUGUGCCCAGAUGGGAUUAGCUAGUAGGUGGGGUAACGGCUCACCUAGGCGACGAUCCCUAGCUGGUCUGAGAGGAUGACCAGCCACACUGGAACUGAGACACGGUCCAGACUCCUACGGGAGGCAGCAGUGGGGAAUAUUGCACAAUGGGCGCAAGCCUGAUGCAGCCAUGCCGCGUGUAUGAAGAAGGCCUUCGGUUGUAAAGUACUUUCAGCGGGGAGGAAGGGAGUAAAGUUAAUACCUUUGCUCAUUGACGUUACCCGCAGAAGAAGCACCGGCUAACUCCGUG
rnacentral:rRNA from 1 species